CUCUCUUCAAAAAAAGGCUAUUUUCCAAAUAUACAUUCUUUUUUUUUUUUUUUUUUUUUUUUAAGUAGGCUCCAUGCCCAGAGUGGAGUCCAACAUGGGGCUUGAACUCAAGACCUGAGCUGAGAUCAAGAGAUCAAGAUCAUUUAACCAACUGAGCCACUCACAUGCACCCAAAUAUAUAUCCUUAAUCAAUACAUUUUAUAAUGAUAAUUUUAUAGUAACCAUGAUACCAGAAAUUACUGAAUUAAAUUAUUUAUUUUAAGGCUUUACAAUCUAUUUUUCAAGCUAACUGGCUAAAUAUUAACAUUUACCUACAAUGUAUGGAUUCAUUUUGCACACACUAUUUUCUAAAUUUUCUAAUCAAAUUCCAUUCAUUCAGGACUGGUUCUUCUUCAGAUUGUCUCAUCCAUCUUUAUUGACACUCUUCAACAAUGACAUCCUCAUUCAAGAUAAGAUCACUACAGUUGUGGGAAUAAAAGGUACAGCAUAGAGAAUAGUAGUCAGUGGUAUUGUACCAGUGAUGUAUGGGGACACGUGGGAGCUCUACUUGUGGUGAGCAUGGCAUAAUGUAUAGAAUUGUUGAAUAGCUAGCUGUAUACCUGAGACUAAUGUAACCUUGGGUGUCAACCACACUUGAAAAAAAAAAAAAAGUCAACCAGCAGGUGAACUCCCCCAUCUCCAGUAACUUCCCACGGGCUGUUUCAAUUCAGUUUUAAAUUAGGAUAUGCUGGGACGCCUGGGUGGCUCAGUUGGUUAAGCAGCUGCCUUCAGCUCAGGUCAUCAUCCCAGCAUCAUGGGAUCGAGUCCCACAUCGGGCUCCUUGCUCCGCAGGGAGCCUGCUUCUCCCUCUGACUCUGCCUGCCACUCUGUCUGCCUGUGCUUGCUCUCGCUCGCUCUCUCUCUGACAAAUAAAUAAAUAAAAUCUUUAAAUUAGGAUAUAUUGAUGCCUGGACUAAACAAUUGCAUUGGCUUUUCUGUUUUUACUAAAUUUGGUCACUUUAAUACCUUUUAGGUAUGCUGCUUGCUACUUUGAAGUCACAUUCUUUUCUCUGCCAUGCCCCAUACCAAUCUAACCAAAACACCUGCCACAGGAUUUUCCAUUUAGAACAGUGAAAAUGGCUUUACCUUCUCCAUAAGACCAUGGAAACUCAGAAUCAUU
rnacentral:lncRNA from 1 species